rnacentral:rRNA from 1 species
UUUAAGCGUGUAGGCUGGUUUUCCAGGCAAAUCCGGAAAAUCAAGGCUGAGGCGUGACGACGAGGCACUACGGUGCUGAAGCAACAAAUGCCCUGCUUCCAGGAAAAGCCUCUAAGCAUCAGGUAACAUCAAAUCGUACCCCAAACCGACACAGGUGGUCAGGUAGAGAAUACCAAGGCGCUUGAGAGAACUCGGGUGAAGGAACUAGGCAAAAUGGUGCCGUAACUUCGGGAGAAGGCACGCUGACACGUAGGUGAAGUGAUUUACUCACGGAGCUGAAGUCAGUCGAAGAUACCAGCUGGCUGCAACUGUUUAUUAAAAACACAGCACUGUGCAAACACGAAAGUGGACGUAUACGGUGUGACGCCUGCCCGGUGCCGGAAGGUUAAUUGAUGGGGUCAGCGCAAGCGAAGCUCCUGAUCGAAGCCCCGGUAAACGGCGGCCGUAACUAUAACGGUCCUAAGGUAGCGAAAUUCCUUGUCGGGUAAGUUCCGACCUGCACGAAUGGCGUAAUGAUGGCCAGGCUGUCUCCACCCGAGACUCAGUGAAAUUGAACUCGCUGUGAAGAUGCAGUGUACCCGCGGCAAGACGGAAAGACCCCGUGAACCUUUACUAUAGCUUGACACUGAACAUUGAGCCUUGAUGUGUAGGAUAGGUGGGAGGCUUUGAAGUGUGGACGCCAGUCUGCAUGGAGCCGGCCUUGAAAUACCACCCUUUAAUGUUUGAUGUUCUAACGUGGACCCGUGAUCCGGGUUGCGGACAGUGUCUGGUGGGUAGUUUGACUGGGGCGGUCUCCUCCUAAAGAGUAACGGAGGAGCACGAAGGUUGGCUAAUCCUGGUCGGACAUCAGGAGGUUAGUGCAAUGGCAUAAGCCAGCUUGACUGCGAGCGUGACGGCGCGAGCAGGUGCGAAAGCAGGUCAUAGUGAUCCGGUGGUUCUGAAUGGAAGGGCCAUCGCUCAACGGAUAAAAGGUACUCCGGGGAUAACAGGCUGAUACCGCCCAAGAGUUCAUAUCGACGGCGGUGUUUGGCACCUCGAUGUCGGCUCAUCACAUCCUGGGGCUGAAGUAGGUCCCAAGGGUAUGGCUGUUCGCCAUUUAAAGUGGUACGCGAGCUGGGUUUAGAACGUCGUGAGACAGUUCGGUCCCUAUCUGCCGUGGGCGCUGGAGAACUGAGGGGGGCUGCUCCUAGUACGAGAGGACCGGAGUGGACGCAUCACUGGUGUUCGGGUUGUCAUGCCAAUGGCACUGCCCGGUAGCUAAAUGCGGAAGAGAUAAGUGCUGAAAGCAUCUAAGCACGAAACUUGCCCCGAGAUGAGUUCUCCCUGAGACUUUAGGUCUCCUGAAGGAACGUUGAAGACGACGACGUUGAUAGGCCGGGUGUGUAAGCGCAGCGAUGCGUUGAGCUAACCGGUACUAAUGAACCGUGAGGCUUAACCUUACA